rnacentral:rRNA from 1 species
UGGGGAAUUGUUCGCAAUGGGCGCAAGCCUGACGACGCAACGCCGCGUGGAGGAUGAAGGUCUUCGGAUCGUAAACUCCUGUUGAUCGGGACGAAAUCCCCCGGGGCUAAUAGUCUUGGGGGUUGACGGUACCGAUUGAGGAAGCCCCGGCUAACUCUGUGCCAGCAGCCGCGGUAAUACAGAGGGGGCAAGCGUUGUUCGGAAUUACUGGGCGUAAAGGGCGCGUAGGCGGCCGACUAAGUCAGACGUGAAAUCCCAUGGCUCAACCAUGGAACUGCGUCUGAUACUGGAUGGCUUGAAUCCGGGAGAGGGAUGUGGAAUUCCAGGUGUAGCGGUGAAAUGCGUAGAUAUCUGGAGGAACACCGGUGGCGAAGGCGGCAUCCUGGACCAAUACUGACGCUGAGGAGUGAAAGCCAGGGGAGCAAACGGGAUUAGAUACCCUCGUAGUCCCUGAGCGGGCUGGCAAGGCGCAU